rnacentral:rRNA from 1 species
CCUACGGGUGACAGCAGUGAGGAAUAUUGGUCAAUGGACGCAAGUCUGAACCAGCCAUGCCGCGUGCAGGAAGACGGCUCUAUGAGUUUUAAACUACUUUUGUACGAGGGUAAACGCAGAUACGCGUAUCUGUCUUAAAGUAUCGUACGAAUAAGGAUCGGCUAACUCCGUGCCAGCAGCCGCGGUAAUACGGAGGGUGCGAGCGUUAUCCGGAUUUAUUGGGUUUAAGGGGUGCGUAGGCGGACAGUCAAGUCAGCGGUAAAAAUGCGGUGCUCAACGCCGUACAGCCGUUGAAACUGGCAGUCUUGAGUGGGCGAGAAGGAUGCGGAAUGCGUGGUGUAGCGGUGAAAUGCAUAGAUAUCACGCAGAACUCCGAUUGCGAAGGCAACAUACCGGCGCCCGACUGACGAUGAGGCACGAAAGCGUGGGUAUCGAACAGGAUUAGAUACCCCAGUAGUC